rnacentral:rRNA from 1 species
AGCCUGAACGCUGGCGGCGUGGCUAAGACAUGCAAGUCGUACGGGUGUAGCAAUACACCAGUGGCGGACGGGUGAGUAAUGUAUCGCUAACGUACCCCGAAAUCUGGGAUAGCCAUCCGAAAGGAUGGGUAAUACCAGGUAACAUCACCGGAUGGCAUCAUCUGGUGCUCAUAGGGUCACCGUUUCGGGAGCGGGCGAUAUCGUAUCAGCUAGUUGGCGGGGUAACGGCCCACCAAGGCGACGACGCGUAGCCGGACUGAGAGGUUGGCCGGCCACAUUGGGACUGAGACACUGCCCAGACUCCUACGGGGGGCUGCAGUAACGAAUCUUCCGCAAUGCACGCAAGUGUGACGGAGCGACGCCGCGUGUGGGACGAAGCCCUUCGGGGUGUAAACCACUGUCAGGGGUUAGAAAGUUCUGAUCGACCCCAGAGGAAGGCACGGCUAACUCUGCGCCAGCAGCCGCGGUAA